UGGUGGCGAGUGGCGAACGGGUGAGUAAUAUAUCGGAACGUACCCGGCAAUGGGGGAUAACUAGUCGAAAGAUUAGCUAAUACCGCAUAUGCCCUGAGGGGGAAAGUGGGGGAUCGCAAGACCUCACGUUGUCGGAGCGGCCGAUAUCAGAUUAGCUAGUUGGUGGGGUAAAGGCCUACCAAGGCGACGAUCUGUAACUGGUCUGAGAGGACGACCAGCCACACUGGGACUGAGACACGGCCCAGACUCCUACGGGAGGCAGCAGUGGGGAAUUUUGGACAAUGGGGGCAACCCUGAUCCAGCCAUGCCGCGUGAGUGAAGAAGGCCUUCGGGUUGUAAAGCUCUUUCGGACGGAAAGAAAUUGCCAUCUCUAAUAUAGGUGGUAGAUGACGGUACCGUAAGAAGAAGCACCGGCUAACUACGUGCCAGCAGCCGCGGUAAUACGUAGGGUGCGAGCGUUAAUCGGAAUUACUGGGCGUAAAGCGUGCGCAGGCGGUUUUUUAAGACAGAUGUGAAAUCCCCGGGCUUAACCUGGGAACCGCAUUUGUGACUGAAAGGCUAGAGUACGGCAGAGGGGGAUGGAAUUCCGCGUGUAGCAGUGAAAUGCGUAGAUAUGCGGAGGA
rnacentral:rRNA from 1 species